AAAAACAAUGUGUGCGUGCAUUUACCUAUGCAAGUGCUCACCAUUUGGUCACACGUUGCAUAGCUUGUGUAGUGUAUACUGUCUUUAAUUGAGGCCUUCAGUUGCAUGUUAGCUCCAGUGGUGUCUCUUUCAUCUGUCAUUUGUAUGCACUGCUUAGACAUCAUCAUAGUGCUUGUGCUAUCCAUUCGUCUAUGAGAACUCGAGCUGCACUAGACUGAAUGGAUGACCAUAGUGUGUUCUCUUCACUGUCAUAUAUCAUCACUAUGUUCCACUCCACUCUAGCAUCGCAGUUGUCAGAAAUGUUUGUACAGAGCAACCAAUUGCUCGGCUGACCUUGUAAAAGUUAAAAAUAUAUAAGAAGACCUUUUUCUAUGCUGUGGGGGACCACAAUGCUACCUAUGGCGUUACAUUGCCAGUGCUACAAUAGCGAUAUGCUGUGUGCUUUGUCACAAAAGGUGUGAAGCCAUGGAGCCAUUGUUGUCGCUGUAGCAUGUUGGCUGAUUGAUUUAUUUGAUGAUAAUGGAAAUGUUAAUAAUGUUU
rnacentral:lncRNA from 1 species